GUCGCUCGUCGCCUCCCUCUGUCCCGACGCCUGCUCUCCUAUCCUCUUCCUGCGCCGCCGACAUCAACGGCCCCCGUCACCAUUCCUCUCGUUCCCCCUUAAUCUAGGGUUGCAGCGGGAUCCAGCAACGCGGGAUACAGAGGAGUGGCCGGUCUGCGCCUAUCCAGCCCCGAUGCGAGGCGCGCGAUGGGAUCAACCGGAUGUGCGGGAUCGAGCCAGGCGAUGCGCGCGUUGGGAUCGACCAGAGGCACUCCAGGGAGCCCAGGAUCUAGCAGCGCCAGAAGUUCGUCUCCAUGACCGGCUCGAGGGGUUUGCUGCCGCGGGUCAAGGCCCUCGCCGCCGACUGCGCGCGUGUGGAGGAAAUCAGCAGGCAGAGGCGAGCAGGGAGAGGUCAAAGGCAGCCUACACGGAGCUUCCUCCGGGAGCAGAACAGGGGGUUUCUAUCUAUUUGCCUUUGCAUUCAAUGUAUAACUUCAAGAGAGUGACUUGGUGGAUUCCCAAGCCCGUGGUUUGCUCUUCCUAAUGCCUACUUACGAAAAGCAUUAUGUCCGGCUUGUGCAUGUCAUGAUUUUCUUAAUCCUUUAUCUUUAUCAGUAGUGGUCGUUUUGUUAAUACUGCGACAUAGUAGAGAAGAAGGAAGGAUAUUCCGAAAAAAACCAAUAAGUAAGAACUAUAUUUGAUUUCCAUCAUAUCUGAUGUCUAUAUCUGGGAAGUGCUAAUGGACCAGAGUCUUUUUGUAACAGGACAAUAGUCAUGAUGCCGAUGAGAUGGAUCUUGUACAGUGCAUGGAAUUAUAACGGAUUGGGGAGGCCGAUACAGAGGAUGCGGGCUGGCCCUUGAUAAAGAGGUUGCUGGCGAUGCGGGGUUACUGUAAUCUUGUGAAGCAAAGGUAAUUGCUUCUAUUACAGAAUGGCCUAUGGUGGAAAUCAGCAACAAAACCAAUAUUUCAAAGCUUUGAUUGGUGAUCCUUCUGUUGGUAAUUCAAAUUUUCUUGCAAGAUUUCGUAGGAACCCUGAUCCUUGUAAUUCCAGUGGAAUAGAUGAUUAAUGGAACACAUGUAUAAACUUAUUAAGAGGUGAUUUAAAUCACUGAAUGAGGUUUGGUGAAAAUUUAAAAUUAUUGCGACCUAUCAACAAUGGUGAAAAAUGAGAACUACUCAUGCAUUAUUGUUUUUAACUAUAUCCUGUCAUGAUUUAGACGAUCUCAUCUACCUCAUUAUUCGUCUAUUGCUGGUCAGGAAGACUGUCUUACUUUGAUCCCUGGGUUGAUGAACUUACUUGCCGAGCAGGUACAUGAAGUUUUGACAUUAGGCAGGUGACUAGAUGGUCAGCAGAUUGAGCCACCGAGGUUAUGCGUGCUUAAAUUCCUCUUGAUUUUCAUAUUAUUUUUUUAAAUGGGCCAGCACCGCAACACGUAUUUAUGCAUUUUUCAUCAACUGCUGUAAUUAAAUUAAAAGCAUAUAUUUGAGGCUCAUCAGAUCCAAGAACUCAAUUCUUCCCUACUAUUGCUAAUUGAUUAAAAAUAGGUUCAGUUAUGACUAAUAUUUGUGUGAGUUCACGCAAAUCUAACUUCUAUAAUUGUGAUAUACUAUAUUACAAAUUUUUCAGUCAUUUUAUAGGACAAAUGGAUUGGCGCAGCACGACUCCCAUCAUGGUUAAAUAGAUUGAGGUAUGGAGACAACAUAGAUGGAUGGAUGUCGUUUCUGAUUGAGUUGGCUCUGGUGCAAGACAAAUUCACCUUGGAGUAGCCGACUUAAGGAUGAUGCAGUGUUGCUUUGGUGGGACUAGCAGAUGGUGUUUUUGGCUCAAGAAUUCGAAGUGGAAAAGAAAUAUAACUCCAAUGAAGAUUGAUAAGUUUGUUGGUCUGCUUAAGAACAAGUGUGGCAGUAGUUUACAUUUCUUGAAGUUUAACCUUUUCAUCUGAAAAUUUGCAAUGAUUCAUUCAAAGGAGU